rnacentral:rRNA from 1 species
GCCGCGUGAGUGAUGAGGUUUUCGGAUCUGUAAACUCUGUUGUUGGAGAAGAAUGUAUCUGAUAGUGCUGAUCCUGUUUUGACGGUAUCCAACCAGAAAGCCACGGCUAACUACGUGCCAGCAGCCGCGGUAAUACGGA